rnacentral:rRNA from 1 species
CUACGGGGCGCUGCAGUGGGGAAUAUUGGGCAAUGGGCGAAAGCCUGACCCAGCAACGCCGCGUGAAGGAAGAAGGCUUUCGGGUCGUAAACUUCUAUCCCAGGUGAAGAUAAUGACGGUAGCCUGGAAGGAAGCCCCGGCUAACUACGUGCCAGCAGCCGCGGUAAUACGUAGGGGGCAAGCGUUGUCCGGAAUGAUUGGGCGUAAAGGGCGCGUAGGCGGCCUUUUAAGUCCGAUGUGAAGGUCCUGCUUUUAAGGUGGGAAUUGCAUUGGAAACUGGAAGGCUUGAGUGCAGGAGAGGUAAGUGGAAUUCCCGGUGUAGCGGUGAAAUGCGUAGAGAUCGGGAGGAACACCAGUGGCGAAGGCGACUUACUGGACUGUAACUGACGCUGAGGCGCGAAAGUGUGGGGAGCAAACAGGAUUAGAUACCCUCGUAGUC